UACGUAGGCGGAAAAUUAAGUCAGUGGUGAAAUCCUGCAGCUUAACUGUAGAACUGUCAUUGAUACUGGUUUUCUUGAAUUUAGUUGAGGUAGGCGGAAUGUGUAAUGUAGCGGUGAAAUGCUUAGAUAUUACACAGAACACCGAUUGCGAAGGCAGCUUACUAAACUAUGAUUGACGCUGAGGUACGAAAGCGUGGGGAGCGAACAGGAUUAGAUACCCUGGUAGUCC
rnacentral:rRNA from 1 species